AUCUACGGCCAUACCACAUUGAGAGCACCCGAUCUCGUUCGAUCUCGGAAGUUAAGCAAUGUAGGGAUCAGUUAGUACUUGGAUGGGUGACCGCCUGGGAAUACUGGUUGCUGUAGAAA
rnacentral:rRNA from 14 species